rnacentral:rRNA from 1 species
GUGCCAGCAGCCGCGGUAAUACGGAGGGGGCUAGCGUUGUUCGGAAUUACUGGGCGUAAAGCGCGCGUAGGCGGCUUUGUAAGUUAGAGGUGAAAGCCCGGAGCUUAACUCCGGAACUGCCUUUAAGACUGCAUCGCUAGAAUUGUGGAGAGGUGAGUGGAAUUCCGAGUGUAGAGGUGAAAUUCGUAGAUAUUCGGAAGAACACCAGUGGCGAAGGCGACUCACUGGACACAUAUUGACGCUGAGGUGCGAAAGCGUGGGGAGCAAACAGGAUUAGAAACCCCCGUAGUCC